CCCUAAUUAAGAAGUUGGUAUAACGAGAUUGUUUUCUGUCCGGAAAGUGAUUUUUUGGCGCGGAGAACGGAAGCCGGUCUCUGGCUUGAGUGGAGCAGCGGGAGCCUGAGAUUGUCUCAUUCGUGAUGUGAUCGAUAUACGGAUGGAUUUGUGAGGCCUUUUCUCUCCUUCUUUUUUCUUCCCCUUCCUCUUUUGGGCUUUGUUUUUGUGCUAGCAAAUAAUUUGGUAAAUAUUUCAUGAUGGAAAUAUAUGACUAGCUUUGUAAACUUGGUUGGAGGGGAAAAUAAUACUCCCUCCGUUCCUAAAUAAUUGUCUUUCUAAAGAUUUCAACAAGUGACUACAUACGGAGCAAAAUGAGUGAAUCUACACUCUAAAAUAUGUCUACAUACAUCCGUAUGUUAUAGUCCAUUUGAGAUGGCUAGAAAGACAACUAUUUGGGAACGGAGGGAGUAAUUAUUAAGGAGAUCAGUGUACUGAGCUUUAGGGCUGUGUUUGUUCCUUGAUUUUAAAGUUCAAUAAACGGUGUGAAUUGUCAGUAAGCAAUAGUGGAAGACCAUUUCUUUUAAGUGCUGAAUAAUUGAUUCCAGAAUUUCUCUGGUUUGUGUAAUAACCUGUCUCAGUAUUUUUACCUCUCGGGUGGAUGUUCUCCUGAUAUCCAAAGUGAAUUCCUUUCACUUUAAAAAAGAUGAACUUUUACUCUGUUUGCACCAAAGUUUACAAAGAUGGAUGAUAUAACACUAUAACUUGUUGCAUAUAAAUACAGAAAUUCAACAAAUUUCUCAUCAUUUUGUAACUGGAAAUGUACAUUUCGCUUGUUUGAUGGACCCAUAUGUUUGUAUCCAAAAAAUACGCGAGAGAAGUGUCUGCAGUUUUUAUUCCACGGACAAAAAAUAUUUCAAACAUUUUACAAAUUUCUAGUUUCUUACUAGAGUAAUAACUUGUUUUUUUCUUCAUCCAAACAAAUUAACUUUCAUGAUUAAAGUUUUUUUAAAGGGGCACCUUCCCACGGUAAGGCAAAUGUAGUCUCGCACAAAACCCAAACUUCUCCGGAUAAACUAUGCGAUGCAGUCACUAUGCGAUGCAACAAUCUAGAACCAUCUGUCAGCAUCCCGGAAAAAAACUAGAAGAAUUAAAAGAGCAGGGUUUUAGGAUUAUAUUUUGAGAACAAUUUCCUUUAGUACUUUUUUUUGCACCACAAGACUUGCCCUUUUUUUUAGACAAACUUGCGUUUUCUUAGAACUUCGUGGCUGACUGGCAUGUUGGUAAGGAGAGUGCCUCUGUAGGGCGUUAAGCGCUAAACUUGGGGCGCCGCUAUACGAGUCCUUCUAAUUGGCGCCUUUAGCACCGGCCGGGAGAAGUUUCAAAAGAAAAAAAAAACACCGGUCGGGAGAUGUCGCGCUCAUGCGCCAGCUUAGCGGGCCGCGGCCCAUAGCGCUCUCCCGGUUUGCUCGCUUCGUUCCACUCACUGGGCCACCGACAAUUGACAGCGAGGAGUUGACUAGUGAAGUGGCACCCAACAUUGAAUUUCGGACAACAUGACUUAGAAAAAAAGAGUUACAAAUUUUGCAAAAAGAUCACGAUUGAAAAAGAUUCAUCGAUUUUAAAAACAGUUCGUCAAAUUUGGAAAAAAGAUCAUCCGUUUGGGGAAAAAAGUUCAGCAAUUUUAUGAAGUUCACCGAUUUUGAAGAAAGUUCAAAAUUCUUGAAAGAAAAUGUGUAAAUGUUGAACAAAAGUUCAAAUUUUUGGAAUAAAAGCAUUGAUUUAUAAGAAAUCAUUAUGAAGAAAAAUUCCUCAAUUUGGAAAAAAGUUCACAGGUUUUAAAAAAGUUCAUCAAUUUUGAAAAAUAAAUCAUGGAGAAAACACGACCAAAAAACCAUAAAAAGUUCGUGCAAAAGAAUUUGAAAAAGAAAUCAAGAAUAUUGGAAUGGAAAGAGAAAGCAGAGCAAAAAAAAGAAAAUAAGGAAAAAAACGACCAAAAACCUAGCUAAAAAUGGAAGGGGAAAAACGCACAAAAACCUUCUAUUUUUUCUUCUUAUUUUAUUUCGCCAUUUUUUCUUUUCUGAUUUCUUCUUUUUAUUUUAUUAAUAUUGAAAAUUUUAUAAAUAUAUACAAUACAAAAAUUGGCUUUACAUAAAAAAUACAAAAAAAAAA
rnacentral:lncRNA from 1 species